UGAGUGAACGGGGUGCCACUGGAGCCCCAGCUGUGCACCUGCAUGACCUACUUCAAGACCCUGAAGAUCCUCUGCUGGGAGCAGAUGGUUGAAGCUGGAAGGUCUGGGGGAGGCACAAGGCUGUGUGGGAGGGUCACAUAAGGGAAACAGCUCUCCUGAUUUCCUUCCAGUAUGGCAGUGAGUGAUAGCUACAAGGAGGCAUCAGAUUCACAGCGUAUCAGUAAGUACAGCCUUUGGGGCCAUUCAGCCCUUUCCGAGCACUAGUGUCUGAAGUGUAGCAUCAGUACAGUAUUUAUUUUCCAUUUUAAAAGCCCUCUUCCGUAUAUUAUCUCAUCAAAUUCUCAUUCCUGUCUUUUAGAUGAGGAAACUGAGAUUCAGAGAGUGGGAUGACUUGCCCAAAACCAGAUGAUGAUUAUUUGCCAAAUGAAGACUCCCUAAGCUCCACCAGUGCUUCACCAGAGCUCACCCAGCUUCUCCUCCACCUCCACAGUCUCCCCAUUGAAACACAGACACAUGACAGAUGCACACACAUGUGCAAAAUACUCCUGCAGAACACACCCUCCAUCCCCACCCCACCACCACACACACCCAAGACAGCAUUGCCCUUCCCUGGGUCCAUCCACUCCUUCAACACAUAUUUGUGAGCGUUAUGCUAGGCGCCAGUGGUAAACUGAUAAACGAGGGGACAUGGUUCCUGAUCUCACAGAGUUGGUCCAGGGUCAGCUAGAGUCUAGAAUGAGGCAAGAACAGGGUGGGGCUGAGAGUGGUACAUUCAGUACAGGGUACAAUGGGAGCACAUAGGAAGGGCCCCUAACCCCUCCUCAGAGGGAUCAGGGAAGGCAUCCUGGAGGACAAGACAUCCAAGCAGAGACCCAGAAGAUGGGUUGGAGUUGGCAAGACUGAGGUGGUGGAGCUAAAAAGAGAGACAGGGAGAGUGUUCUACACGGAGGGUGGAGCAUGUACAAACACGGGGAGGCAAGGGGAGCACGGCACUUUCGAGGAACCACGAGAAGUACAACGUGGCCAGGGGACCUGCUCAGGUGGGGAGAUGGUGUCCAUUGAGGCCGCAGAGGAUGCAGGUGUUUGAGUGUGAUGGGCUGGUAAACCUUGUUGGUAUUUAUGGAGUUGAUGUUUGUCUCGAGGGCAUUGGGAAGCCAUUGAAGGGUUUAGUGAGUGACGUUGGUGACAAGCUCUCAUCAAGACAUUCUCCUUUUGGCCACUGCUGCCACCUCCAUUUCACCUGCUUUUGCUGCUCUUCCCGGGUCUCUGUGGUCUGGGCCAGGUUGGCUCAGAUGACCAGAGCACUGUUAUCAAGAUGCCAUGGAUAUGCCAGCAAAUAGCUUCUUACUGCUCCCUGCUCCCAGCCUCAGCCUUAACCCGGGGCCUGGACUCCACACGGACAGAAUAUGGGCUGACUAACCAACAUCCCUCAGGAAGACUGGAAAACAAGUUUAAGGUAUAAUAAGAAGGGACACGGGUUCAAGCCCUGGUCCGGGAAGAUCCCACAUGCCGUGGAGCAACAAAGCCCGUGUGCCACAACUACUGAGCCUGCACGCCUAAAGCCCAUGCUCUGCAACAAGAGAAGCCGCUGCAAUGGGAAGCCUGCACACCAUAACGAGGAGUAGCCCUCGCUUGCUACAACUAGAGAAAGCCUGCAUGCAGCAACGAAGACCCAACGCAGCCAUAAAUAAAUAAAUUUAUUUAAAAAAAGAAUAUAUAUACACACACAUACACAUAAAAAACGAAUGUAUAUAUAUAUGUAUAACUGAAUCACUUUGCUGUACAGCAGUAAUCAACACAACACUGUAAAUCAACUACAAUAAAAAAUAAAUUUAAAAAAUAA